UACGGAGGGUGCAAGCGUUAAUCGGCAUUACUGUGCGUAAAGCGUGCGCAGGCGGUUUGUUAAGUCUGUUGUGAAAUCCCCGAGCUCAACUUGGGAAUUGCAAUGGAUACUGGCAGGCUGGAGUAUGGUAGAGGAAGGUGGAAUUCCCGGUGUAGCAGUGAAAUGCGUAGAGAUCGGGAGGAACACCAGUGGCGAAGGCGGCCUUCUGGACCAAUACUGACGCUCAUGCACGAAAGCGUGGGGAGCAAACAGG
rnacentral:rRNA from 1 species